UUUUGGGCGGGUGAGGGCAGUGAAUGAAGGCUUGUAAUAGGUGGAAAUAGGGAAAAUGUAUCGGUGGGGGUGAGAGGUGGAUUUUGAUGGCCGCCGUGGUCGUUCAGAAGUUCAUUGUUUUUUACUGAUUUCCGGUAAAGUAGAGUACGUAGCGGCACGGGGCUUGAGGGGCAGGGCGACACGUGCAUUGCAUUCCUGUGUGUGAAGUUGGAGAGCGGGAUAUAAGCCGGCUGGGGAAGGAGACGGUUGCUGAGUGGUUAGCGUGCCGGUCCUGCGUUCACUGCGUCAUGGAUGAUGAGGGUUUGAAUCUGCCGCUGCCACAGACUACUUGUCCUGAAGGCCACCACCAUCAUCCUGGACUGUAUGGGACUGUCCAAGGGAAAGCAAGAUGGGGCCGCUAUAAACACUUGCCGGCUUGGGCCCACCACCAGGCCCAGCCAAGGGAGGUUGGUGUAGCAGUGCCGGGAGGUUCCAUAACACAGGGCACUCCUCACCUCAACAACAGUCUCUUCACCGACAAGUAAUUCUUCACCAACAAGCUUUUCAGCAGCUUGGAGAAAUAGACACUACCAAACGAAGAAGAGGAGGAGGAGGAGGAGGACUGGGAAGAAGACGAGGAACACAGGAGGAACCCAUUGAGAGAACAAGAAGAAGAAGAAGAAGAAGAAGAAGAGGAGGACACAGGAAUUCCUUGAAUUGAAUGGCUGGCGUCC